UGGGGAAUUUUGGACAAUGGGCGCAAGCCUGAUCCAGCAAUGCCGCGUGCAGGAAGAAGGCCUUCGGUUGGUAAACUGCUUUUGUUACGGAACGAAAAGG
rnacentral:rRNA from 1 species